UGCAUAAGGAGAGCAUCACCAAUUUGAAUAUCCAGAAGGGUUACACGUCAAAGUUUCCUACAGGCUAGGACAAAAUGCUGCCAACAUUGAAGAUGUUCCUCGGCAAGAACAUCUCUGAGGGCCAACACAGAAAAGUAAAGGAUCCAAUUCUUAAACUGAUCUGCUGUGAAUGAGCUGAAACCUGACAUAAUUUUGUAUGGGAUUCGUCCCAUAUCGGAUGGAACUAUCAUUCUAUCGACUGAAUCAUAUUAUACUGUGAUUCUUCAAUGAGAUUCCUUUGAAACCAAAUAAUUAUGUUUCAGAAUGUACUUACCACAAAUAUGUUGAGCAUCCUUGAUGGAUGGAAAUAAGGGAGUUUCAACAGAACGGUGUAUCGAUAACCAUAUUCACCCUCAGCUCUCAAAAUAUCCGCUUUAGUGUUACAGGAAAGCAUUUUAGAAGCACUUAGUUGGUGAGAUUCAUAUGUUCGAGGAAUCCAGUGAUCACGAUCAAAACCUGAGUAAUCCAUACAACCAACGGUCCCAGGAAAGGAUUUCAAACAUUUAGAACAUCCGUGGCGAGAAUUGUAAGACUUAAAUCCACACACUUUUUGUUCAGCUGGCAAAUCACAUGACACACAAAGCAAUGCACAACGAAAUUUUUGUUUAAUUGAAGCACCAUGAAUAGGCAACUCCUUUCCCUGCCACAAUAAAGUCAAUUCAUUAACCAAUGGUUCUAAGAAGUUUUCAGAUGGCUCAUGAGGGCCUGGUAUAAUGCCCACGGUGAUCAUAUUUUCACGUUUAAACCGUAAGUGUCGUGGAAGGAUCACCCCAACUGAAUAUUGAACAUGCUUGAUCAUGAAUGGCAAUCAACAUUCAUUAUUAAAGCUAAGUUCCAGGGCUGAGACAGAAAUGGUCCAGAAGCAUGAGUUUGAAAUUCUUUCCAAAUCCUCCCGUCCAUAACAUCAGAUAAAUCAGUUACAGUUUUUGAUCGCCAUUGUUCUCACACUGUGAAUAAAAGUUGGGCCGCAGCAAGAAAGCUUGUAGUUGGACUUCAAGACUAAGGUAGCAGUAACUCAUGACCUCAUGAAAGGGUACAACAUUGUCUUCCCACUGGCAACUUCUACAUGCUUCAAAAGCAAAGCACUACAGGGCAACCGCCUUUGUCUGGGGCAUGGUUUACUUAUUUUCCGUCCUCCUUCAACAUGUACACAAUCGUCAAAAAAGUAGAUAUGAUGGUUCUGUGGUCCAUAUCUCUUCCAUAUCUGUAUUAGAAAAGGUUCAAAGUAAGCCUACAAUCAAUAAUAGCACAAAACAAAAUACCAAUGCUAUUGAAGGACACCAACUGAGUCUCACCUUCAUCAUCACUUUCACAAACGCUCCAAUCGUCUAUUAUGGGGAAAACAAUUAGAUCUACACCGUAAUUUAAUCUAUAGUACCUUCAGGAUCAGAAGACAGGCAAGGUGAUCCCAACGGUUGAUCAUCACUUGAGAUAGUCGAUGCAUGGCGAUUCAGAUCGUUCAUCGCUACUACCUUGAGAUGAUUCAUUUGUAGAUCUGAGGCGUACGGACCAAUUUCUACUGGAGGAGUUGAAGUAGAGGCGCUUAUGAGCUUUAUAUGUCUUAAUCGACACUGAUCUGUCACAAUGUAAGCAAUGCCUUCUGUCUACUCUAACAAUGCGUCUUUGAGAUAGAUCAAUACCGCUAGUAGACCCAGUGCUAUCCGUAUCCAUUCUUAAAAGUAUCUCAGAUAUCUUUUAAAUAAAGCACAUUUAAUUAUUUCUUCUUAAUAACGCUUAUCAUGACGUUGACCAAUCAUUGGGUUCUAGAGCUAGAGCACAUGGCAGUUCCUAGAUUCUUUUUGAGCUAGCUAGCUUCUGGAUCUAAGUACCUAGAUAUAUUCUAUACUCAAUAUAGCAGACUCAAUAGACUAGAAUCUAGGCGGCAGGUGACUUGAAAAGAAAGGUUGUUGUUCUGUAGAAAUAAUGGCAGGAUCGGGAACUGAACUCUUUUCUAGUGAUGAUGAGGUUCUACAAACUUCCUGCAGCAGUUACUCUGAGCCUGGUUCAGAAGAUGAUCGGUCAAAUACACAAUUCAAAAACCUUGAUAUGGCUGAUCUCUUUAAAGCAAAAACCCGGUUACACCCUGUAGGCAAGGUAAGUAGGCUGUGUGAGACAUAUUAAUUGUAAAUGUAGGUUUACAGGGCAGUAUGUCUGACUCUCGAGUCACUAAAAGCAAAAACUCUAACACUAAGGAGAACACUUCUGCUCCUGUCACUCCGUCACUUCGUACUCUCUUGCCUUAUUCACGUGGGAGCAAUGAGAACAUGAAUUGUGACUCGCAUACAAAUGUUUCCGGAGGUUCAGAGGUGGCAGCAGCACUCAAAGAAAUGUCUAACAAGCUUGGGGAACGUGUUGAACGAACUGAAGUAGAGCUGAAGUCACUAAAGAAUUAUGCGUCCAGCACUGGUGAUACGACCAGCACUCCAAAAUCUAAAUGUUCCUCUCGGAUACUUUUGUAUGUAGGCUGAAACUCUACCAAACUAAAUUUCGAUGGUUUCAACAUUGAACCCCCGUGCCGCGUAUACAUACUACAAAACUCUCCGCCAGGAGGCAUCGAUGAAUAGGAGGGGAUUAUCAGAGGUUCGAAAGAAGUAUCCGGAAACUUCAAGAACGCCAAAGUGUAUUUUCUAAACGUACAUACAAUGGGUCAGAUAAGGAGAAGUGGCAGAAGGUUCUGAUAGCAGAAAUGAUGUCCAGCGAAGAUGAUAAAAUUCUCGUCAAAUCACUCCCAUGGCGUUCCAACAAAGUUAGGCGUUUCUUUUAUGCUCUCGACGAUCAACUUUAUUCUGAAAAGUCUGCUCAAGCUAAAAGACAAACUAAAGAGAGAAUUGUUGGUGAUGUAUCUGUACGUACACAACCCAUUAGUGGUGUUCCGACAUGAGCAUUUGAGAAGGACCCAUAGCUAUUAUAGUUAUGCGAACAUCAUUAAUCGUUGUGCUAAAACUGAUCGAUGCCUAAUUAUCGUUCUGUUUCCUUUGUGCUUGUUGGUAUUGUGUUAAUAAUUUAUUUAUGAAACAUGACAUUUAUGGUUACCAAAUUCACUACAUGACAGUUCAUAUGUUCUUUAACUAUCCAGUACAUACGUUUUGGUCAUGAAAGUUCGAAGGAAAUGUGACUGUUAAUGCUAAGGAUUAUUGAUGUGUCUUAUAUGAUUCCUACACCAAAUUGGCUACAUGACAGUUCAAAUGGUCUUUAACUAUCCGGUACAUGGGAUUUAGCUCUAUCCUCUAGCAGAAAAUAUGACAUGAAAUUCCAUAUGUCUUGUUAGCAUGGUGCGUCAAUGACAAGUGACA